AGCAGCCACUCAUUAAAAGAGUGCGUAAUAGCUCACUGGUCGAGUGACUCUGCGCCGAAAAUUCAACGGGGCUAAACUAUACACCGAAGCUUGGGAUACAUCUAAUGUAUGGUAGGAGAGCGUUCUGUAUGGGGAGAAGUCGUAGCGAAAGCGGCGGUGGACUAUACAGAAGUGAGAAUGCCGGAAUAAGUAGCGAGAAUUAAGUGAGAAUCUUAAUGGCCGAAAGUCUAAGGUUUUUGGAGGAAGGUUCGUCCGCUCCAAGUAAGUCGGGAGCUAAGGUCAGGCCGAAAGGCGUAGCCGAUGCACAUACGGUUGAUAUUCCGUAACCAUCUGUAAUUUAAGCAAAGGGACACUUCAAAAGGGUGUGACCCGGGCGUUGGUUGACCCGGGCGUAAGGGACCGAAAUUAGAGUAGGGAAGCACACUUAGCUGAAGGCGAGAAAAGCUUUGCGUAUAGAAACAGAUGCCCGUACCGCAAACCGACACAGGUGGACAGGAAGAGAAUUCUAAGGCCAGCGGGAGAAGGGUAGUUAAGGAACUCGGCAAAUUGACUCCGUAACUUCGGAAUAAGGAGUGCUCGAAAGAGCCGCAGAGAAUAGGCCCAGGCGACUGUUUAGCAAAAACACAGGUCUCUGCCAAAUCGAAAGAUGAAGUAUAGGGGCUGACACCUGCCCGGUGCCGGAAGGUUAAGAGGAGGAGUGAGAGCUCCGAAUUGAAGCCCCGGUAAACGGCGGCCGUAACUAUAACGGUCCUAAGGUAGCGAAAUUCCUUGUCGGGUAAGUUCCGACCCGCACGAAUGGUGUAACGAUCUGGGCACUGUCUCAACUACCCACCCGGCGAAAUUGUAGUACCGGUGAAGAUGCCGGUUACCUGCGGCAAGACGGAAAGACCCCAUGGAGCUUUACUGUAGCCUGAUAUUGGGUUUCGGAAAUCUAUGUACAGGAUAGGCGGGAGACUGGGAAACAUGAGCGUCAGCUUGUGUGGAGUCGAUGUUGGGAUACCGCCCUUAGGUUUCUGGAAUUCUAACCUGCGGCCGUGAAUCCGGUCGGGGGACAUUGUCAGGUGGGCAGUUUGACUGGGGCGGUCGCCUCCGAAAAGGUAACGGAGGCGCUCAAAGGUUAGCUCAGCACGGACGGAAACCGUGCCUCUGAGUGUAAACGCAAAAGCUAGCCUAACUGCGAGGGUGACGGCCCGAGCAGUAACGAAAGUUGGAGUUAGUGAUCCGGCGGUAUGUGAAUGGAAAUGCCGUCGCUCAACGGAUAAAAGCUACCCUGGGGAUAACAGGCUGAUCUCCCCCAAGAGUCCACAUCGACGGGGAGGUUUGGCACCUCGAUGUCGGCUCAUCACAUCCUGGGGCUGAAUUCGGUCCCAAGGGUUCGGCUGUUCGCCGAUUAAAGUGGUACGCGAGCUGGGUUCAGAACGUCGCGAGACAGUUCGGUCCCUAUCUGUCGUGGGCGCAGGAUAUUUGAGGAGCUCUGUCCUUAGUACGAGAGGACCGGGAUGGACGUACCUCUGGUGCACCAGUUGUCAUGCCAAUGGCACGGCUGGGCAGCUAUGUACGGAACGGAUAAACGCUGAAAGCAUCUAAGCGUGAAGCCGACUCCAAGAUUAGAUAUCCCAUCGUAUAACGAGUAAGACCCCUUGAAGACUACGAGGUUGAUAGGCUGCGUGUGUAAGUGCCGUGAGGCAUUCAGCUUGGCAGUACUAAUAGGUCGAGGGCUUGACCAC
rnacentral:rRNA from 1 species